rnacentral:hammerhead_ribozyme from 1 species
AUCCAACUGACGAGUUACAAAUAGGACGAAACGCUCGUCCUGAAU